CCCAGCCCGUGAGAGAGCGGAGGUCCGAUCUCGGCUCGUGGAUGCGAAGCUCGGCUGACGGGACUGUAACAUCGACAGAGCUGGCUAGGUGCCGCAGUGGAAGCCGUCGCAGCCACCAUUGCUGACGUGCUGCUGGUGGAUGCGUCGGGUGUUAUGUGACUGGCCUGCCCUGGCCCCGGCCCAGACAGCAUUCCUAGCCCUCCAGGGGUUAAAGGUGGUGGCUGCUGGGGUGAAGGUAAUUCCUUUUCAAGGCCUGGCGAGCUGUUGCGGGCGGCCGUGGCUCGAGGCUGUCGUGGAAGUGGCAUUCGCUCCACCUGGACAACGGGGGCCAGCGUGUGGUUGUUGCGUUUUAGCCUUUUCACCCCACUGAUGUGCCUCCCUGACAGUGAGGACCCAGAUGGAGCCUUUGCUGUUGACGACGGGCGCCCGGCGAGCCCGCUCGAGUGUCGCAGGGCGGAAGACGAUAACGUUGAAUACGACGAUGAGGACGACGAUGACAAGGAGCUGUGCCCCGACGACUUCCCUACACCCGCCGGGUGGAGCACGCACGUGUUUCCUCGUGAAGGCAUCAGCCGCAACAGUGGAGACACGUGCAGCACUCUGAGAUGAACGGCGCCGGCGUAACAACUAAGAAAACAAAUAAAAGCUUGU